GACGAACGCUGGCGGCGUGCUUAACACAUGCAAGUCGAACGGAAAGGCCCUGCUUUUGUGGGGUGCUCGAGUGGCGAACGGGUGAGUAACACGUGAGUAACCUGCCCUUGACUUUGGGAUAACUUCAGGAAACUGGGGCUAAUACCGGAUAGGAGCUCCUGCUGCAUGGUGGGGGUUGGAAAGUUUCGGCGGUUGGGGAUGGACUCGCGGCUUAUCAGCUUGUUGGUGGGGUAGCGGCUUACCAAGGCUUUGACGGGUAGCCGGUCUGAGAGGGUGACCGGCCACAUUUGGACUGAGAUACGGCCCAGACUCCUACGGGAGGCAGCAGUGGGGAAUAUUGCACAAUGGGCGGAAGCCUGAUGCAGCAACGCCGCGUGCGGGAUGACGGCCUUCGGGUUGUAAACCGCUUUCGCCUGUGACGAAGCGUGAGUGACGGUAAUGGGUAAAGAAGCACCGGCUAACUACGUG
rnacentral:rRNA from 1 species